GAGGCUAAGACCCAAUCUCCUGAGUCACCCCCUGAAAAGCUAACCCCCUGUGCUGGUCAUUCAUUGAUAUCAUGGGAGCACAAACUUCUAUCAGUAGCUGGUCAUACAAAGGAUCCUUCUGAAGCUAUUCAGGUUAGGGUCUUUGAUGUACAAACCUCCACGUGGUCUAACUUGAAGACUUACGGAAAACCACCGGUAUGUACC